UCACAGUACUAGACUACAUACAGAGAGGCAAAUAAUUGAAGUACUUACUGGUUCUGUCUUAUUAAAAUUGUUAGUAUAAAAUAUAGGUUGUGAGAGAGCAGGGGUUGUCAUUCCUGUGUGCAUUUGGGUGUUUGAAGGAAGAGAAGAUGGCGAGGAAGGAAACUUUGGUGAUUGUUCUCUCCUGGUUUCUGAUAGCAGCAUUCCUCGUUGCGAGUGCUACUGCAAGUGGACGAUUGGGGACGAUAGAUCACGUGGUUCAACAUCAAGCUUGUCGUUGCUGCUUGUUCGACUGGGGGCCUCCUCUUAUCAAGUGCGUGAAAGCAUGCUGUGGACAUGGCUGCAAGUGCACAUGAAGCAUCAUCACAAAGACUUUAAGAGUGAAAAACCAAUAAAAAGUGUUCAAGAGUAGAUCUAUCUAGCAGCACCCUUAAUAAAAUCUUGUGCAAUAUCACUUCCUAGGCUGAAAAUGGCCAGGACAUGACUGGUACGUCUGGGUAGGGAACUUGUAUUUACACGGUCAGAAGUAGGCCAAGUGAUUUGAACCUUUUUUUCCUUUUCUUUUCUUUUUUUCUGAUAAGCAAGAGUCCUCAUGAAGCUUCCUUCUCUGCAACUGCAAAUCAAGUUAUUUGAACUUUGAUAUGUUAUAAUUA